ACGAUGGUGGUAUAGUGGUUAGCAUAGUUGCCUUCCAAGCAAUUGACCCGAGUUUGAUUCUCGGCUAUCGCA
rnacentral:tRNA from 1 species